rnacentral:rRNA from 1 species
GGGGAAUUGUUCGCAAUGGGCGCAAGCCUGACGACGCAACGCCGCGUGGAGGAUGAAGAUCUUCGGGUCGUAAACUCCUUUCGAUCGAGACGAACGGCCUCCGGGUGAACAAUCCGGAGGAGUGACGGUACCGAGAGAAGAAGCCCCGGCUAACUCCGUGCCAGCAGCCGCGGUAAUACGGGGGGGGCAAGCGUUGUUCGGAAUUACUGGGCGUAAAGUGUGCGCAGGCGGCAGAGCAAGUCGAGUGUGAAAGCCCCGGGCUUAACUUGGGAAUUGCGCUCGAAACUACUUUGCUGGAGUGUGGCAGAGGAAGGUGGAAUUCCACGUGUAGCGGUGAAAUGCGUAGAGAUGUGGAGGAACACCAAUGGCGAAGGCAGCCUUCUGGGCCAACACUGACGCUCAUGCACGAAAGCGUGGGGAGCAAA